AUGACUCAGUGUCAGUGAGUGAGCCAACAAAUAGUUUUCCUCUCUCUAGGGUUUUUCUCUCAGAGCUUCAAUCAACACCAAUUCAGCCUCUCAAACCACAGAUUCAUUUUGCAGCAUGCAGCUAAAGGCUUAAUCAUCAGUCAUCACAGGAAGGAAAGAUUCUCCAACAGAUAAUAGCUAGGAAGGGGCUUUUUGCAAAUAGAGAAUUGUAGUUGGAUUUAGAGAAAUAUGGAGGAUCAAAUUAUGAGGUGUAGUCUGUGAUUUUGAUACUUUGGAGAAAAUUAUGAGGUGCAGUCUGUUUGUGUGUGUGUAUUUUCUGUAUGUGCAGUCUGUCUUUUAUUAGUAUUGCUUAAAAACAUGUUGUAGGGUUAAGAACUUAUAUUUUAUUUAAAUAUGGAAUGAGUUAAGAACUUAUGUUUUAGUAUUA